UACGUAGGUGGCAAGCGUUGUCCGGAUUUACUGGGCGUAAAGAGCUCGUAGGCGGCCUGUUGCGUCCGCUGUGAAAGCCCGGGGCUUAACCCCGGGUCGGCAGUGGAUACGGGCAGGCUAGAGGUAGGUAGGGGAGAAUGGAAUUCCCGGUGUAGCGGUGAAAUGCGCAGAUAUCGGGAGGAACACCGGUGGCGAAGGCGGUUCUCUGGGCCUUACCUGACGCUGAGGAGCGAAAGCGUGGGGAGCGAACAGG
rnacentral:rRNA from 1 species